UGGGUAAAUCGCAUUGUUAUGACUUAUUGAUGAGCUUAUUAGGCAUUUUAUCUAGGGUGAGCACGGUUUUUGAGUAGAACCGGGAACCGAAAAACCGAACUGGUGGGUCUGAUUUGGUUCCCAGUUCCAAGGGAGAAGGUUUCGGUUCCCCGUUCUACUCUUUUUGGAACCGGCGGUUCCCAAUUUGGUUCUCGAUUCCUAUCGGAACCAGAACCGGAAACCAGGGUUCCUAAACCUAAAAUCUCUAAUUUCUUCAAUCUUCAAGUCUUCCUGUUCUCUCUGCCGAUACUUUCCUCUCUAGUCUCUGCUCUCUCCUCUGUACAGCACUGCGGCGCCCCGACAACAGCCCGACACUGUUCACCGUCCUCGACGCCGCUGUCACGACCCACGAUGUCACCGUUCUUGCUUUCUACUGAUGGCUCAUCAAUCGGUACCCGAACUUGAUCACAGACGUCAUCAAGGAAGAGCCGCCCCUCGACACGAGCGGCGUCGCCUGGCCGAUCAACCCCUUCAAGCCAAACCCUAACACUUGUGUUGUCAGGUUUUUUUGAAUUUUGGUGGUCUCGAGCUGGAAUUGUGAGAGGAUUUGCGUUGAAGGUCCUGGAAAGACCACAUUACUUCUAGCAUUAGCUGGGAAGCUUAGCAAAGCUUUGAAAUUCGUACAAUGGACAUGGGAUGGACGAAUUUGUGCUGCAAAGGACAUCGGCUUAUAUAAAUCAAUAUGAUCUCCAUAUAAGAGAAAUGACUAUUAGAGAAACUCUAGCGAACUCUGGCUUUCUUGGCCAGGUGCCAAGGCGUCGGACACCAUUUUACAUGCUAGUAGAGUUAUCAAGAAGAGAGACGGAGGCAAACAUCAGACCUGAUCCUGAUAUAGAUAUCUUUAUGAAGGCAGCUGCCCCGGAGGGUAGGAGACUAAUGUUGUUACCAAUUAUAUACUCAAGAUUCCAGGACUUGAAAUUUGCACCGACACGAUGGUGGGAGAUGAAAUGAUACGAGGCAUCUCCGGUGGACAAAAGAAACGAGUCACAACUGGGGAGAUGCUAGUCCGGUCAGCCAAAGCACUCUUUAUAGACGAAAUAUCGACUAGCUCGGAUAGUUCGACAACAUUCCAAAUAGUGAACUCACUCAGAUAGUCCAUACCCAUCCUCAAUGGGACUGCUCUAAUAUCCCUCCUCCAGCCUGCACCAAAAACUUACGACCUGUUUGACAAUAUCAUCCUUCUUGCAAAUGGGCAAGUAGUGUAAUCAAGAUCCCCGAGAAAAUGUGCUCGAGUUCUUCAAUCACAUGGGUUUUAAAUGUGCAGAAAGGAAAGGAGCAACUGAUUUCUUGCGAGAAGUAAUAUUUUCGCAGCACUGGGUGGUCUCGGGCUCGAAUGAUCAUCCAUCCUAGAAUUUGUAUUACAUGGAGGUAAUAUUGUUGAGUUAUAAUCCAACAAAGAACUUCUUGCAUGGGAAAUAAUCUGCUUAAAUUGCUGAUUUUAGUGUGAUAGUAGGUGACUUUGUAGUUGUAAUUUUAGAUCCGAGAAUUGUUGGAAGGUGCUGAUCUUAGUCUGUUCUAAUUUGGAUUUUGUGAUUGUAAUGUGUGUUUUUACUAUGCUUGGCUUAUUGGUAGAUGUUUUGCUUCAAAAUUUAUUCGCCAGACAUUUAAAUUCUAAGCUGAGGGUACUUUGUAACUAUAGAAAAUUUCGAAGUGAUGGUGUUGUGGGUCCUGUUAUAGAGAAGUACGUAUUGGAA